CGGGCCGCGGACAGCGCCACGGGCAGCGUUACCACCAGCUGUCGCCGGGCCUUGUUGAACUGCGCCUUGCCGCGGCUGUCGUCCACCGGGUCCAAGUCCUCCAGCGGCGAAGAGGCUGCCGCCUUGGUCAUGCUACCCCUCGGCCUCUAUCCUUCAGUCCGAGGGAGAUCAAUCCGAGACCAGGUGAGACCGACGCGCAGACGAGUCGCUGGUCCGCGGAGAGUGAGGUGGCGGAGGUCGGUAACCGCCCGAGAAUUGUCUAGGGCAGCGCGUGCUCGUUGCCGUGGUGACAACGCCAACACCCGGGAGGAGGGGCAGGAGUUGGAGUGGGAUGGUGGAAAUGCCAGAAAUGCAUCUUAGUUUUAUUAAAACCAACUACCUACCCUACGGUUCGUGUUUUCUAGGUUCCUUUGCCAUGGUGCAGUUACUUCUGUGCCGGGAUAACUGUCAUACUGUGAAUAAUUGUCAUAAUUUCCAGCAUUAUGUACGAGUAUGUUAUCUCGUUUAUUGUUAAGAACAUUUCAAGGUAGAACUGAUACCAUUUCACAGACAAGAAGAUGGGACCUGAGAAGUUACCUGACCAGGGUCACACAGUGUAUUCACAAGCUGUGAUUCAGACCUGUGUUUAUCUGUCUUUAUCACGUCUCUAAACCAAAAUUUCGUCUUCUGGAUAUUUCACCAUACUGUUUGCCCUGUAACAACUUUCAUCUGGGGCAAGAGAGAUGGGCAGGCUAUUAAUAAAUAACUAAUGAUCAACAAACAUGUAAGACUACAUUAAUAAAAAUGCAAAUAUAAGAUACCACA